ensembl:snoRNA LOC120099059 small nucleolar RNA SNORD113/SNORD114 family
UAGACCAAAGAAAGUGGCUCUCCUCUGAGACAUCCAUGAUGACCACAACAUUGGGAGUCUGAGGUCCAC